CCUACGGGUGGCAGCAGUGGGGAAUAUUGGACAAUGGGGGGAACCCUGAUCCAGCCAUGCCGCGUGUGUGAAGAAGGCCCUCGGGUUGUAAAGCACUUUCAGUGAGGAAGAACGCCUGGUGGUUAAUACCCAUCAGGAAAGACAUCACUCACAGAAGAAGCACCGGCUAACUCCGUGCCAGCAGCCGCGGUAAUACGGAGGGUGCGAGCGUUAAUCGGAAUUACUGGGCGUAAAGCGCGCGUAGGUGGCUUGAUAAGCCGGUUGUGAAAGCCCCGGGCUCAACCUGGGAACGGCAUCCGGAACUGUCAAGCUAGAGUGCAGGAGAGGAAGGUAGAAUUCCCGGUGUAGCGGUGAAAUGCGGAGAGAUCGGGAGGAAUACCAGUGGCGAAGGCGGCCUUCUGGACUGACACUGACACUGAGGUGCGAAAGCGUGGGUAGCAAACAGGAUUAGAUACCCCAGUAGUC
rnacentral:rRNA from 1 species